GGUGAGGCAAGGUCUGGAGACAUCCUGUUGGCAUCCUCAGAGUACAGAAGAACAUAAGCCCUGCCCAAAUGGGGAGAACCACCUGCUGUCAAGAGUCAGCCAGCUGCAGUAUCAGCCCCUGAAGAGGACGAGCUAGCAGUGCUGAUGUCAGGGAACUUUCCACUCCUCAAACCGACAGGAACAGGACCGUGAGCACAAAACGUGAACACGGACCAGAACGAGUUGGCAUGCAGGACUAGGUUGCCUUGACGACUCUGAGUUCUGACAGGGAAAUACAAUGAGUUUUAUGUGGACAGAGUUCCACGGUCUAUUGCAAAAUCAAUGUGCUGUUUGAAUGAAUCAUCACUUCCAACCAUUGGUCAUUGGUGUCUGAAUCUUGAUUGCAGAUGAAGCACUGAGUCAUGACUGUAAAAUGCCACAGUAUUUAUGAAAACCAAGAAGGUUUUUUAUUUAUCCUGACUAGCUAAAUCAAGGCCUGGAAUGAUGAUAUGUCCCAG
rnacentral:lncRNA from 1 species